UACGGAGGGUGCAAGCGUUAUCCGGAUUCACUGGGUUUAAAGGGUGCGUAGGUGGGUUGGUAAGUCAGUGGUGAAAUCCCCGGGCUUAACCUGGGAAUGGCCUAUGUGACUGGCAGGCUAGAGGAUGGCAGAGGGAGGCGGAAUGCCACGUGUAGCAGUGAAAUGCGUAGAGAUGUGGCGGAACACCGAUGGCGAAGGCAGCCUCCUGGGCCAAUCCUGACGCUCAGGCACGAAAGCGUGGGGAGCAAACAGG
rnacentral:rRNA from 1 species